rnacentral:tRNA from 1 species
UAGCUCAGUUAGUAGAGCAUCAGACUUUUUAUCUGAGGGUCCAGGAUUCAAGUCCCUG